rnacentral:pre_miRNA from 1 species
CACUGGGGGGGGGGCACUCAGCCCGGAUUGCGAGAGGGCGCAGGCCAGGCCGAGGGACCCCACUGGUAUAUG